GAAAGAUAACUGAAUCAAUGUGAAGUCUGUGAGUCCCUCCAGUUGUCUUCCUCCUCAUCAGGACUAAAACUGGACUUAAGCGGCAGCGAUCCACUAAGCACUGCUUCUGUUCAGAAAUAAGAAGGAAGGAAUUCAUACAGAGAACUCGUAUUAAGCCAGUAGUUUGUGUCUACUUGUGAUCCUCUUGUGCUCCAUCUGAUCCACUGGAACUCCACUCUGUUUGGCAGCAUUGAUGAGGCUGUGGGGAAGCCGCACGGAAUCGCCAUCAUUGCUCUGUUUGUUCAGAUAGGAAAGGAACAUGUUGGCUUGAAGGCUGUGACUGAAAUCCUCCAAGAUAUUCAGUAUAAGGGGAAGUCCAAAACAAUACCUUGCUUUAAUCCUAACACUUUAUUACCAGAUCCUCUGCUGCGGGAUUACUGGGUGUAUGAAGGCUCUCUCACGAUCCCACCUUGCAGCGAAGGUGUCACCUGGAUAUUAUUCCGAUACCCUUUAACUAUAUCCCAGCUACAG
rnacentral:sRNA from 1 species